AAUAGAAUGUGGGUCUGUAUUUGUUGUAUUCGUAAAUAUUUAUAUAAAUAAAUUGCCAUUUGGUCUCAGGUAGAUGGAGAGCGCAGUGGGUUUUUUGUGCAGCAUGGUUUCUGGGUUUUGUUCUCUUGCGGGGAAUGUUGGACAUAUGUCGCUGCAUGCAAGCUGAUUCAGAUUUCUGGGUCUCUCUCUCUCUCUCUCUCUUCAUAUUUUCUCCGUGCGUCCAAGACUGCGUCUGAUUGUGUCACUCUGUAGCCCCCAUCUGGUUUUUCUUAGUUAGCUAUGCCUUGGUUGAAGUCCCGGAGAAGUGUCUCUGAUAGGGCUUCUUGUUUUGACGGAUUCAACGUAUUUGAUGGUCUAAUCCAUGGGAUUUGGAGUUGAUUAGGAGUUAAUAUACACCCUCUUUUAUCUUUGGAUUUGGGAUUGCAGAUUAGGAGUCUGAGUUGUUCUUGAUAAAAAGGGAUCUCGGAUCGAUUUGUGAUUUUGGGGGUUGGUUUUUGGCUGGUGAAUGGGGACUCAAACAAUGGGAUCUCAAGCUGGUUGUGGCGGUGGAAGUAGCGGUGGAACUGAGGGGCAAAAAUCACAUGCAUUGGCCCGGGAAGGAUCCUUGUAUAGCCUCACCCUAGAUGAGGUCCAGAACCAAUUAGGGAAUUUGGGGAAACCACUUAGCAGCAUGAAUCUUGAUGAGCUUCUCAAGAGUGUUUGGACUGCCGAGGCUAAUCAGGGGGUGGGGAGUGUUGAUUAUGGGGCUGUGCAACAUGGCCUGCAGAUGGCACCAUCAGUCCCGUCUCUGCAUCGGCAGCCAAGUGUUGCGUUGUCCGGUGAUCUGAGCAAGAAGACUGUGGAUGAGGUGUGGCAGGAUAUUCAGCAGGGCCAGAAGAAGAGUAGUCAUGAUAAGAAAGCCCAGGAGAGGCAGCCUACUCUUGGGGAGAUGACAUUGGAGGACUUCUUAGUUAAAGCAGGGGUGGUCGCUGAAUCUUCUCCCAGGAAGAAGAAUCCUGGUCCUGUUUUAGGUGGGGAUCCAAUUGGAUUGGCCCAACAAAAUAUGCCCCCACAAGCUCAGUGGAUGCAUUACCAGCUGCCCUCGAUUCCUCAGCCGGCGCAGCAGCAGCAGCAUCAACACCAACAGAAUAUGAUGGCUGUUUACAUGCCGGGCCACCCGGUCCAGCAGCAUCUUCCUAUUGGUGCCAACCCGAUUAUGGAUGUAUCUUACCAGGAACCCCAAAUGACCAUGUCACCAUCCACUUUGAUGGGCACUCUUUCAGAUACACAGACACCUGGACGGAAAAGGGUUGCUCCUGGAGAUGUGAUUGAAAAAACUGUUGAAAGGAGGCAAAAGAGAAUGAUUAAGAAUAGAGAAUCUGCUGCUCGCUCGAGAGCAAGGAAGCAGGCUUAUACCCAUGAGCUGGAGAACAAGGUUUCACGUCUAGAAGAGGAGAAUGAAAAGCUUAAGAGACAGAAGUGCAACAGGUCUAGGAAGCAGGAGAAAACAGAUAGAGGCUCUUAUGAGGAGAGUGGAUGGAAUGGAAGAAGUCUUUAGCAAAAGAGGUUGAGGAAAACCAAGAAAAACCUGGUGGAAACUCCAGGAUACGAGUUAUGUUUACAAAAGGCAGUGGAGAAGGCGUUGCCAAGUGUGCCGCCUCCCGAGCCCAAGUACCAGCUCCGAAGAACAAGCUCGUCCCCUUUUUGACAUUUGGCGUUGGUGUAUGAGCCUUGUGUAGAUGCAUUGUGUUUGUUAUGCUGUUCUACUUUUCCCUAGUUAGCCUCUUACAUUAGUUCUACAAAUCAUGGUCUCUCCAACUGUCGACAUCAAGGCAUUGCCUCCUCCUGCAACUGCGACUGUGAUUGCAACUGCGACUGCCCGGGGAAGUUGCUCCUGUACUGGCUGGGUGUUGAAUCUUCCUUUUGGCUGCCUUGCCAUCUCUAGAUCUGCCCGUGAGUCUUUUCUUUAAAAUGUACAUUUUCAUAGACAACUUUGAACUUAUAUGCGGCAACAUAGCUUUCAGUAAAAUGUACCUCAGUAA